rnacentral:misc_RNA from 1 species
CGCUGCUUGCCCGGUGG